rnacentral:lncRNA from 1 species
UUUCUUCUUCCAAGAUGAAUACAAGGCUUCACAUUCAAGCUCGGGAGGACAUAAUUCGCUAUUAUGGCACUCCUGCGGCUGUGAGUUUGUGGCCGUCUCAGGAUGAGGAGUCCGACUGUAAAAACGAUCGCUUUUGCUCCGCUGACCUCUACGUUUUGCUAACUGCUGUAUCAUUCCAAGUGUUUCUUCUUCCAAGAUGAAUACAAGGCUUCACAUUCAAGCUCGGGAGGACAUAAUUCGCUAUUAUGGCACUCCUGCGGCUGUGAGUUUGUGGCCGUCUCAGGAUGAGGAGUCCGACUGUAAAAACGAUCGCUUUUGCUCCGCUGACCUCUACGUUUUGCUAACUGCUGUAUCAUUCCAAGUGUUUCUUCUUCCAAGAUGAAUACAAGGCUUCACAUUCAAGCUCGGGAGGACAUAAUUCGCUAUUAUGGCACUCCUGCGGCUGUGAGUUUGUGGCCGUCUCAGGAUGAGGAGUCCGACUGUGUAUGUAUAAAUUUACAUGCCCACCCUGUAAAUUCUUCCGUCUAGUAUAGCUGAUUUGUUGCACAUUAAGUCUGCCCAGUCCCUAUAAUAAACUGUGAUUCGUUUUCUUUGCAAAAGUAUCCCGUAUUUCUGUCUGACCUGACUUCCUUUGUCCCUCCCUCCACCCCCCUC